rnacentral:piRNA from 1 species
UUCUAGCUCACCCCAGCCACUUCUGUGCUC